UGCAAUGUUUGAUCCAAUUAUUAUUUGUGCCUGAAUGACCUUUGAUGAAAGCUGUGUAAUUAUAAGUCUAGUCCCAUUGCA
rnacentral:sRNA from 1 species